rnacentral:lncRNA from 1 species
UGAUUAUUGCAGAGACAUAUACAAACAAUUACUGUAACGACCCCAGAAAUCCAAAAUGAAAUAUACAAUAAUUUAAGUAAGGAAGUGAAAUAAAAGAUUAAGGUUUACAUCCCUUAUACAAGAACUUAGAAGUAUUAAACAAACAUUACAGAAUGAAUUCUCUAAAAGAAACACGAGAAAUAAGAAAGUAAUGGGAAAUAUAAACUAUCUAGCAUCUACUCGCAAUCUUCUUGCGGAUCAGGCUCUGGAACCAAGUCCUCCUGAUCUGAAAUGGUUAAAUAAAGGAUGAGUUACACUAGUCUAGUAAGGAUAUCACACUAUAUCACCGGCACAGAAUCAAAUGUUGAUAGAAAAUCAAA